rnacentral:lncRNA from 1 species
UCAAAGACACCCCAGAGCGAGACCCUCUUCCGUGUUAUUUUUACUGAAUGAGAGGCAGGAACUGCAUCAGUGUUUUGCAUGUCGUGAAUUAUGGCCAUAAGACUAGAGUCGCCAGGAUGACACUCCACCAUCUGACUCAUGCUGAGGGCUCACACUGGCCCCUGAUAUUAUUUCUGAAGCCCUAACACUGAACGUAAAAACCUGGGAGAGAACUGUACGGAAGGACCCCAGGAUCCUGAUAGCCCCCAUGGAACAGGGCUUCAUGGAUUCAGGCGUCAGAAUCAAGCCUAGAGAGAGGAGAUGUUUACCGUUCAUGGCAGAGUGAGGCCUAGCGGUGAGUGGAAAGCGUGGCUGGGCACAGGGGUGGUCCUGAUGGAGGGGCCAGAGGCUGAUAAUGGCGUGGAGGCCCUGACACAGGGCAGCCCCGCCAGCCUCUGCAUGGCCGGGGAGUUACACCCUUGAGGACGGGUUCCAAGAAUAAAAUGUGUAAUAUGCAGAAGACAACAGGGCCUUUGUGUGGAAAGGCAUCGGUGAAUUAACACCAAUGG